GAUUAACGCUGGCGGCGUGCAUAACACAUGCAAGUCGAACGAUGAAACUCAUUAGACUUCUUCGGAAUGACGAUGAAUGGAUUAGUGGCGAACGGGUGAGUAACGCGUGAGUAACCUGCCUUACACAAGGGGAUAGCCUCUGGAAACGGAGAAUAAUACCCUAUGACAUUAAUACUUCGCAUGAAGUAUUAAUCAAAGUGUUAGCGGUGUAAGAUGGACUUGCGUCUGAUUAGCUAGUUGGUGAGAUAACAGCCCACCAAGGCAACGAUCAGUAGCCGGCUUGAGAGAGUGUACGGCCACAUUGGGACUGAGACACGGCCCAGACUCCUACGGGAGGCAGCAGUGGGGAAUUUUGCACAAUGGGGGCAACCCUGAUGCAGCGACGCCGCGUGAUUUAGAAGGCCUUCGGGUUGUAAAAAUCUUUUGUAUAGGAAGAAAAUGACAGUACUAUACGA
rnacentral:rRNA from 1 species